ACAGAAAAUAAACGCCAUGACAUGUUAACGCCCGAGAGUUCACCGAUUGCAAGGCCGUCGUUAUACGGAAGAUUACAAAAUUGUUUUUUUAACGAAGAUUAAUGGGAGUCAUGAAAGAAUGCUCAGCUAGUGUGUAAUUUCCUGGUGUAUAAUUUCCUGGUUUUAAAAGUAACUAUUAUUAAGAAUGUAUCGUAUACAGAGUACGCUUGCCAUCCAAAUGUAAUUAUAUGAUUAUAACAUUUAAAGAACCAAAUGCAUAACUUGCGUGAAUGUAUAUAAGCCCUUAAUUAAUUAAUUAAAGA